rnacentral:rRNA from 1 species
UACGUAGGGUGCGAGCGUUGUCCGGAAUUAUUGGGCGUAAAGAGCUCGUAGGCGGUUUGUCGCGUCGGCCGUGAAAUCUCCACGCUUAACGUGGAGCGUGCGGUCGAUACGGGCAGACUUGAGUUCGGUAGGGGAGACUGGAAUUCCUGGUGUAGCGGUGAAAUGCGCAGAUAUCAGGAGGAACACCGGUGGCGAAGGCGGGUCUCUGGGCCGAUGACUGACGCUGAGGAGCGAAAGCGUGGGUAGCAAACAGG